AGCCUUCUGAAUUCACGCAGAGAUUUCGUCAAACACCAGAGAAUCAGGACUGAUGAGACUCCUAAUAUAGAUGAAGCA
rfam:Schistosoma mattheei strain Denwood, Zambia genome assembly, scaffold: SMTD_scaffold0002173